rnacentral:rRNA from 1 species
ACGUAGGAGGCGAGCGUUAUCCGGAGUUACUGGGCGUAAAGCGUGCGUAGGCGGUGGUAUAAGUGGGAUGUGAAAGCUUCCGGCUAAACUGGAAGAGGACAACUCAGACUGUACGACUAGAACGAGUCAGAGGUUCGCAGAAUUCGGGGUGUAGCGGUGAAAUGUGUAGAGAUCCCGAGGAAUACCAGAAGCGCAGGCGGCGAACUGGGACUGUGUUGACGCUGAGGCACGAAAGCGUGGGGAGCGAACGGGA